rnacentral:rRNA from 1 species
AUACGGAGGGUGCAAGCGUUAUUCGGAAUCACUGGGCGUAAAGGACGCGUAGGCGGGUUGGCAAGUCAGAUGUGAAAUCCUACAGCUUAACUGUAGAACUGCAUUUGAAACUGCUAACCUAGAGUGUGGGAGGGGGAGAUGGAAUUAGUGGUGUAGGGGUAAAAUCCGUAGAUAUCACUAGGAAUACCGAAAGCGAAGGCGAUCUCCUGGAACAUAACUGACGCUAAGGCGUGAAAGCGUGGGGAGCAAACAGGAUUAGAAACCCUAGUAGUCC